UAAUUCCAGUCUUUCAAUAGGCGUAUAAUAAAGUUGUUGCAGUUAAAAAGCUCGUAGUUGAACCUUGGGUCUGGCUGGCCGGUCCGCCUCACCGCGAGUACUGGUCCGGCUGGACCUUUCCUUCUGGGGAACCUCAUGGCCUUCACUGGCUGUGGGGGGAACCAGGACUUUUACUGUGAAAAAAUUAGAGUGUUCAAAGCAGGCCUUUGCUCGAAUACAUUAGCAUGGAAUAAUAGAAUAGGACGUGCGGUUCUAUUUUGUUGGUUUCUAGGACCGCCGUAAUGAUUAAUAGGGAUAGUCGGGGGCGUCAGUAUUCAAUUGUCAGAGGUGAAAUUCUUGGAUUUAUUGAAGACUAACUACUGCGAAAGCAUUCGCCAAGGAUGUUUUCAUUAAUCAAGAACGAAAGUUAGGGGAUCGAAGACGAUUAGAUACCGUCGUAGUCUUAACCAUAAACUAUGCC
rnacentral:rRNA from 1 species